GGAGGGCGUUUCUAUUAUUCUAUAUUUGCAGCUGCAGCAAGGCUUUUCGACGUCCUUGAUUGCAGAAAGAAUUUGUUGUCGAGUUUUUAAUGUCACAUGCAAAAGAUGUUCUUUUAUUACUUCAGUCAUUGAUGCCCCCUGCCUCAAGAACUAUAACAAUGAGGAGGAACUUCUGGUAGAGUACUGGAAAAGAGGCUACCAGUACUCUUGAGAUCUCAACAUUUUUUAGCAACUUUCAUGACGUGGAUCUAAGGCAGUGUGCGGCAGCUAAAGUACAGGUACAACAAGCUUGGGCUAUGAAGGCGUCUUGGCACCAGCUCCAAUGCAGAAGUGAGGGAGGCCAUCCGGGUACGAGUUAUCAAGUGUAUAGCACAACACUUCCCAUUUAAAUCCAAAUUUCAAUAGUCAUGUACUCACCUGUAACAUUUCCUGUACAUGUGUAUCUCGUAUAAAAGUAUUCAAUCAGUAAUCAAUGAUUUAUAGUUUAUCCAUGUGACCCUUCCCCCUGAUCCCAUACUGUACUACAGAAAAGCUAUGUACACAGUACAUCACAUGAAGUUUCUUCAUGUGAAGUUGUCAUCAAACAAAUCAUGACGGUACCAGUUUGUGAUUGUAAGUGGUGUUUCUAAUGAAAGUCAUGAAAGCAUCUCAAAAAUUGUAUGUGUAGUAUCACUGUAAGUACUAGUUGCACAUUAGAUAGGGUAUUAAAUAAAGCACUUUCUGAAUAAUGUUGAUAGGUCCUUCAUGUCAAGUUGUUGUCAAACAGAUCAUGACAGUACCAGUAUGUGAUUCUAUGUGAUGUUAAUGUUAUGAAAAUCAGGAAAGCAUCCCAAAAAUAUAUGCAGUAUCACUGUGACUAGUUGGCAAUGCACGCAAGUCUAGCGUCUUACAACUAACAGUAUAGCAAUGUGUACAGUUGUGGAUAUGGUAUAUCAAAACACAGAAUUAAAAAUA